UUGUACCUUCUUCUGCGUGGCUCAAAGCUUCAAAAUAGGUACACAGACUCAGAGUCUCACAGUCACGGAGACCUACCAUCUACCUUACCGACAGUGAAUGGCGGCCGCCAGAGUGAUGGCAGCAACUGCUACAACCAACGCGACGUCGUGUCUGCUCCUCAAAAGAACAUUCUCUUUAAACCAAAAGCCUCACUUCAGCGGAUUCUGCUUCAAUGGGAAAAGACAAGUGUCCUUGUCCUCUUCCAAGAGAUCGCUUUUUACUUGUACCGCUUUACAUAAGCCUGAUGUCCUGAUCAAGGAGGAAGGUCAGCCUGAGACGCUCGAUUACCGUGUUUUCUUCCUCGACAACUCUGGGAAAAAGGUUUCUCCUUGGCAUGACAUACCCUUGCACUUGGGUGACGGUGUGUUCAACUUUGUUGUUGAAAUUCCCAAAGAAACAAAUGCAAAGAUGGAAGUUGCUACUGAUGAGUAUUUCACUCCAAUCAAGCAGGACACGAAAAAGGGGAAACUUAGAUAUUACCCCUAUAACAUAAACUGGAACUAUGGAUUGCUUCCACAAAC
rnacentral:misc_RNA from 1 species